rnacentral:sRNA from 1 species
GGAUGUGAAAGUCACCUGGCUACAAAUUCUGUGACCCUCUGAUCCCAAGGUUUCUGGGACUGAUCUGAUGGAUAGGGGGCUGUCUCCUUCCUAGCUGCUGCACGUGUGACCCUCUAAAAAACUGCAGACUCAGUUGGAGCCCACCUCCCCUAAUAAGGAGGGUCAUUCUUCCAGCAAGGGUUUAGAAGCAACUGCAUUCUCAUUCUAGAACUGCCAGCCAGACUCUCAAAAAAUAUGGCUCCUUGGGCUGGAGAGGUGGCUGCAGUUUAGGUGCUUGCCUGCAAAGCCAAAGGACCCAGUUU